rnacentral:rRNA from 1 species
CACGUAGGGUGCGAGCGUUGUCCGGAAUUAUUGGGCGUAAAGAGCUCGUAGGCGGUGUGUCGCGUCGGCCGUGAAAACCUGCAGCUUAACUGUGGGCGUGCGGUCGAUACGGGCAUCACUGGAGUUCGGCAGGGGAGACUGGAAUUCCUGGUGUAGCGGUGAAAUGCGCAGAUAUCAGGAGGAACACCGGUGGCGAAGGCAGCUUACUGGGCAUUAUCUGACGCUGAGACGCGAAAGCGUGGGUAGCAAACAGG